UCACUGCGUUGUAAUGAGCUGCACGAUGGCUGUGAUGAUGCGACUCCUUUGUAGGCAGGUGCACAGGUCCACAGAGAGCCAAGUUGUCAUGUCCUUGCUCACUGCGUUGUAAUGAGCUGCACGAUGGCUGUGAUGAUGUGACUCCUUUGUAGGCAGGUGCACAGGUCCACAGAGAGCCAAGUUGUCAUGUCCUUGCUCACUGCGUUGUAAUGAGCUGCACGAUGGCUGUGAUGAUGCGACUCCUUUGUAGGCAGGUGCACAGGUCCACAGAGGACCAAGUUGUCAUGUCCUUGCUCACUGCGUCGUAAUGAGCUGCACAAUGGCUGUGAUGAUGCGACUCCUUUGUAGGCAGGUGCACAGGUCCACAGAGGGCCAAGUUGUCAUGUCCUUGCUCACUGCGUUGUAAUGAGCUGCACGAUGGCUGUGAUGAUGCGACUCUUUUGUAGGCAGGUGCACAGGUCCACAGAGGGCCAAGUUGUCAUGUCCUUGCUCAC